rnacentral:rRNA from 1 species
AUUGAACGCUGGCGGCAGGCCUAACACAUGCAAGUCGAACGAGUGGCGGACGGGUGAGUAAUGUGUGGGAAAAUGCCCGAGGGAGGGGGGUAUAUCCUGGAGACGGUAGCUAAUACAGCGUACCAUAGGAUGUGCCCCGAUGGGAUUUGCUAGUAGAGGUGGUAACGGCUCACCUAGGCGACGAUCCCUAGCUGGUCUGAGAGGAUGACCAGCCACACGGGAACUGAGACACGGUCCAGACUCCUACGGGAGGCAGCAGUGGGGAAUAUUGCACAAUGGGCGCAAGCCUGAUGCAGCCAUGCCGCGUGUGUGAAGAAGGCCUUCGGGUUGUAAAGUACUUUCAGCGAGGAGGCGUUACUCGCAGAAGAAGCACCGGCUAACUCCGUGCCAGCAGCCGCGGUAAUAC